rnacentral:rRNA from 1 species
UAGGGAAUCUUCCGCAAUGGGCGAAAGCCUGCCGGAGCAACGCCGCGUGAGUGAUGAAGGUCUUCGGAUCGUAAAACUCUGUUAUUAGGGAAGAACACAUGUGUAAGUAACUAUGCACGUCUUGACGGUACCUAAUCAGAAAGCCACGGCUAACUACGUGCCAGCAGCCGCGGUACUACGUAGGUGGCAAGCGUUAUCCGGAAUUAUUGGGCGUAAAGCGCGCGUAGGCGGUUUUUUAAAUCUGAUGGGAAAGCCCACGGCUCAACCGUGGAGGGUAAUUGGAACCUGGAAAACUUAAGGACAGAAGAGGAAAGUGGAAUUCCAUGUGUAGCGGUGAAAUGCGCAGAGAUAUGAAGAAACACCAGUGGCGAAGGCGACUUUCUGGUCUGUAACUGACGCUGAUGUGCGAAAGCGGGGGGAUCAAACAGG